GCUCUCGUAGCUCAGGUGGAUAGAGCGGGCGCCUUCUAAGCGUCUGGCCGCAGGUUCGAGUCCUGCCGGGAGCACCA
rnacentral:tRNA from 1 species